rnacentral:rRNA from 1 species
CUACGGGGUGCUGCAGUGGGGAAUAUUGCACAAUGGAGGAAACUCUGAUGCAGCAACGCCGCGUGGAGGAUGACACUUUUCGGAGCGUAAACUCCUUUUAUAUAGGAAGAAGAUGACGGUACUAUAUGAAUAAGCGCCGGCUAACUCCGUGCCAGCAGCCGCGGUAAUACGGAGGGCGCAAGCGUUACUCGGAAUCACUGGGCGUAAAGAGCGUGUAGGGGAUUAAAAAGUCAGAAGUGAAAUCCUAUAGCUUAACUAUAGAACUGCUUCUGAAACUCUUAAUCUAGAAUAUGGGAGAGGUAGAUGGAAUUUCUGGUGUAGGGGUAAAAUCCGUAGAGAUCAGAAGGAAUACCGAUUGCGAAGGCGAUCUACUAGACCAUUAUUGACGCUGAGACGCGAAAGCGUGGGGGGCAAACAGGAUUAGAUACCCUGGUAGUC